CGUUGUAAAACGACGUUAUGCAUGAACGUAAUGCUCAUAAUUUCCCUCUAGAUCUAGCUGCGAUCGACGCUCCAUCUAUUAAUGGAUAAAAUUUGAAUCUUAAGUUAGAUGAGUUUUUGAAAGUAAAGGGCAAUAUCAACUUUUUGGAUAUUGCCCCUUUACUUUUAUUUAUUUGAUUAGUAAUCUAAAUAUUUAUAAAUAUUUAUAUAUACAUUUUUAUAUACAUUUUUGAUUUCUUUCACGAUUUUUUAGCAUUUUUCCUAUCUUAGAAGAAAAAAACAAUUCUAACGAACGAAAGGCUAGAAUUUUAUAUAGAUCAUUUUUACAUAGUAUAAGGGCGGAUGUAGCCCAGUGGAUCAAGGCGGUGGAUUGUGAAUCCACCAUGCGCGCCUGUGUGA
rnacentral:misc_RNA from 1 species